rnacentral:rRNA from 1 species
GUGGGGAAUAUUGGACAAUGGGCGAAAGCCUGAUCCAGCCAUGCCGCGUGAACGAUGAAGGCCUUCGGGUUGUAAAGUUCUUUAGCCGAUGAUUAUAAUGACUGUAGUCGGAAAAUAAGCCCCGACUAACUUCGUGCCAGCAGCCGCGGUAAUACGAAGGGGGCGAGCGUUAUUCGGAAUCACUGGGCGUAAAGCGUGCGUAGGCGGUUUUGUAAGUUAGGAGUGAAAGCCCAGGGCUCAACCUUGGAAUUGCUCUUAAAACUGCAAGGCUCGAAUCUCGGAGAGGAUAGCGGAAUUUCCAGUGUAGCAGUGAAAUGCGUAGAUAUUGGAAGGAACACCAGUGGCGUAAGCGGCUAUCUGGACGAGUAUUGACGCUGAGGCACGAAAGCGUGGGGAUCAAACAGGAUUAGAAACCCUUGUAGUCC